GCAAACACAUCUACCUGCUUGCUUCAGAACAGCUGCUGUGCUUGUGAUAAAUUUCAUUGCCCAGCCUUUGAGGAAAGCUUGUGACUAAGUUCAGCCAGCCCUGGAACACUCCCUGGUUCUCCCUGCUCUCGGGAGCUUGUGUGCUGCAAGGGCUUUCUGCAUCCAGCCACAUCCUUCUGUUCUUCAUCUCACCUCACUUUAGUUUGAGGUCUUAAUAUGGCAGUUUAGGAGAGUAGGGAUUGUCUGGAACCUCAGGGAUAUCCAUCUAACAGAAAUAGUUGGGAAGUAUUCGUUUUGAGGUUAUUUUUUGGUUGAACUGAGAGCAGUUUGAACUGAAGAAAAAAAAGGAGCGAGCCUAAAACCUUUGAUAUGAUGCAGACCUCAGCCGUGUUAUUUAAAAUAGGAUUCUAUCUGACCAGUUCAGUGAUAUUUAUUGAGCAAAUGACAUGAACUUUCAUUAGACUCUGAGUUAUCAGCUUCCAAUUUAAAUGGCAAAAGCUAAUAUUUCUUUGAAAAUAUUUGGGGAGUCCUUUAAGGAAUAAAAAAUGAUGGUUGUUUAAGAAGCUGCUGUUUUUCAGUAGUCUGCCACAGAAGAAGUUGGGGUAAAAAAGAAUUAGAAAUUGUCACUGAUUUUUGUACCAUCUAUGAAUAAGAAAGUACAUAGGGAAUAAAUAAAAGAAUUUACAAAAGAAGUAGUGGUGCAACGUUUGGGGAAACAACCCAAGUGUUGUUACAAGUGUGAGGAGGUGCACACAGUAGGAAAGAAAAGAAGGCAUCCAUUCUGCUACAGUGGUAAGUAUUAAGCCAAGAGAGGGAAACACUGACCUGGGGAGAAUGGGGAUUGCAUUAAAACAGUGAAGGAGGGGAAAAUCAAAGGACAGGAGAAAUCAGUACCCAGCAGUGUAAAUGAAGGAGGACGAAAGUUCAUGGUGCUUUUCAGAGGUAGAGCCAAGGGGUGUGGACAAAACAGUAAGAGCCAUUCUGAAAUUAAGAUGUAAAUGUAACUUAUUUAUACAGGUAGAAAACACUUGUAUACUUUAGUUCUAGAAAAAAAGAGAUGUUUGUGCUUUUUGAAAAAAAGGUUAUUUAAUGUAUUUUAAUCCUCAACCCUCUCUGAUUCUCUUCACUGGAGAAAAGAGGAGAAAAGAGGAGAAAGAGUGAAGGAGAUAAGAGAAUAAAUUUAAUGCUGAAAAAGAAAUGUUCUUGAAAUAAUUAAAAAGUAUUAAGAAAACUCUGGAAAAUUCAUAUUUCAAGUUAGAAAGGCUGUUUUUGGAUCAAAUAAAUACAAUGAAGAAUUUUUCUAAUUCCAUAAAUUAUGAUGUGGAGGGAUGGAGCAAGUUCUAGUUGAAAGAAGGGAAAAGAAUGGUAAAAAAUUACAGCCAAUAAAUUAAUUAAAUAGAGCCAAACAAAUUUUUGUCUGUACCAUUUAUCCUGUGGCCAAGUUAAAACACAGAUGUCCCCUUUAUUUGGCUGUUCACUGUUUUCCACUUAGCUCCCUAGCUGGCUCUCUUCUCCCUAGUACCUGAAUUCCUGACAAUUGAUGUAUGAUUUUAUAUUUGCAACACUCAGUUGAAGCAGAAAAAUAUUUCCCAGUUUCCCUCUGGUGAUGUGAGUCACGAGGUAGGUUAAGUGAAUUCUGUUUUGCAGGGAGGUAGGAAUGGGAUACCAAUCCUUUGAGCCUGAAGCUCAUUAGUCACCACCAGACCAUCUCUCAGUGCUCUUGACGGUAGUUAAUUUGAUACUCUUUAUCUAACUGAUCAAUAAAUAUUUUGGACCAGCUAGAAGUGAUUUGAGAGUCCAAUUUUAUGCUGCAUUUGAGACAAACCUAGGGUUUCCAUGCUGGCCACAAGGCAGAAGGUUUUCACCUCCUCUUUGUUGCUUUGUUCCUUCACUUUUACUCCCAGCUGCUCAAAGCUGGCUUCAACCAUUACCUCGUCAUUUAUGUUGGUAGUUAUCCAGUUGCUAUUUAAAUCUAGUUCCACUUGGCAUGGUAAAAACGUGCAUUUAUUCAACCAGAAUUGCUUUUUUAAUUUCAGUGAGUUGAAUUGUUUCACUUUCUGGUGAGUAGAAA